CCCGCAAGGGAGCAAGUAGAAGUGGCGCACGGGUGAGUAACACGUAGGUAAUCUACCUUUGGAUUGGGAAUAACAACCGGAAACGGUUGCUAAUACCGAAUAAUGCAGCGGCACCUAAUGGUGACAGUUGUUAAAGCGGGGGAUCGCAAGACCUCGCGUCUAAAGAGGAGCCUGCGGCGGAUUAGCUAGUUGGUAAGGUAACGGCUUACCAAGGCGAUGAUCCGUAGCCGGCCUGAGAGGGCGGUCGGCCACACUGACACUGACAUACGGGUCAGACUCCUACGGGAGGCAGCAGUCGGGAAUUUUGGGCAAUGGGCGAAAGCCUGACCCAGCAACGCCGCGUGAAGGAUGAAAUCCUUCGGGAUGUAAACUUCGCAAGAACGGGAAGAAUAAGUGGAAGUUAAUAUCUUUCACGAUGACGGUACCGUUUGUAAGCUCCGGCUAACUCCGUGCCAGCAGCCGCGGUAAUACGGGGGGAGCAAGCGUUGUUCGGAUUUACUGGGCGUAAAGGGCGCGUAGGCGGCCACCGCGAGUCGACUGUGAAAUCUCCGGGCUUAACCCGGAAAGGUCAGCCGAUACUGCGGGGCUAGAGUGCAGAAGGGGCAACUGGAAUUCUCGGUGUAGCGGUGAAAUGCGUAGAUAUCGAGAGGAACACUGCGGCGAAGGGCGGGUUGCUGGGCUGACACUGACGCUGAGGCGCGAAAGCUAGGGGAGCGAACGGGAUUAGAUACCCCGGUAGUC
rnacentral:rRNA from 1 species